rnacentral:rRNA from 1 species
UACGGAGGGUGCAAGCGUUACUCGGAAUUACUGGGCGUAAAGCGUGCGUAGGUGGUUCGUUAAGUCUGAUGUGAAAGCCCUGGGCUCAACCUGGGAAUGGCAUUGGAAACUGGCGACCUAGAGUGCGGUAGAGGGUAGUGGAAUUCCCGGUGUAGCAGUGAAAUGCGUAGAGAUCGGGAGGAACAUCCGUGGCGAAGGCGACUACCUGGACCAGCACUGACACUGAGGCACGAAAGCGUGGGGAGCAAACAGG